AGUCCAGACUCCUACGGGAGGCAGCAGUGGGGAAUAUUGCACAAUGGGGGAAACCCUGAUGCAGCGACGCCGCGUGAGUGAAGAAGUAUUUCGGUCUGUAAAGCUCUAUCAGCAGGGAAGAAAAUGACGGUACCUGACUAAGAAGCCCCGGCUAACUACGUGCCAGCAGCCGCGGUAAUACGUAGGGGGCAAGCGUUAUCCGGAUUUACUGGGUGUAAAGGGAGCGUAGACGGCAUGGCAAGUCAGAUGUGAAAGCCCGGGGCUCAACCCCGGGACUGCAUUUGAAACUGUCAGGCUGGAGUGCAGGAGAGGUAAGUGGAAUUCCUAGUGUAGCGGUGAAAUGCGUAGAUAUCAGGAGGAACACCGGUGGCGAAGGCGGCCUGCUGGACUGCAACUGACGUUGAGGCCCGAAAGCGUGGGGAGCAAACAGGAUUAGAUACCCGGGUA
rnacentral:rRNA from 1 species